rnacentral:rRNA from 31 species
AAAACUUUCAACAACGGAUCUCUUGGUUCUGGCAUCGAUGAAGAACGCAGCGAAAUGCGAUAAGUAAUGUGAAUUGCAGAAUUCAGUGAAUCAUCGAAUCUUUGAACGCACAUUGCGCCCCCUGGUAUUCCGGGGGGCAUGCCUGUUCGAGCGUCAUUA